GGGUCAAUGAUGAGAAACUUACAUGUCUUGAAGAGAAGUGAUGACUUAAAAAUCAUGCUCAAUAGGAUUACGCUGAGGCCC
rnacentral:snoRNA from 1 species